ACGUUUCUAGCUUCGCCACUGGCUGCACACCAUCAUCAACAACAAGCACCGACUCAACUCAACGCGUCUCAUCACUGACACGGACGCGCUACCUCCAUUCAACCAACCGAUCUUGCACACAUCACCGACGACAUGAAUCUUCACGUGAUUUAACCUGCACGCAGAGAUCCAUCGAAUUCAUCAUACUCAGAGCUAGAGGAACACGAACUCAAAUCAAUGACGUCGACAAAGACGAAGCAAGAGAGGAGAAGAUAGGAGUGAGCAUCGUAUCUGAGUCUUCUCAUCUACGUUGGAAAUAUAUAAAGAGUAUGCACAAUUCAGCGCUAGAAGCACUGACUCAGAAGGUUCAAGAUUGGAACAUCAGAACAUGCUCUCGCAAGACAUCAGAAGAUGGUCAAGCAGAAUCAGAACAUGGUCUAUGAAGCAUCAGAAGAACAUGAGAUCCGAAGCAGAAGCACUGAAGUUCUUAUGGUAUCACGCUCAAGCACUUCAAAGUCAGAAGACAAGAAGAUGCUCUGCACAAAGCUGUUUGACUCUAAUUAUUCAAACGUUCUAUCUACAAACAUCAGAUCAGAAGCAACUACAAGAUGACAGGCUACGCUAACUGACAAAAGGAACGUUAGAAACUACAAAAGGCAAAGUUAGUAAAAGUAGCAAAAGUAAGGCUCGAGGUAGUUGACAAAAGAGUGAAACAUUAAAUGCAAAGUUGUACGGAACACGCAACGCAUUAAAUGCUCCCAACGGUCAUCUUCUCAAAACGGCUAUAAAUAUGAAGUUCUGAUCAGAA